GGGGCGGCCAGCCAGCUCUGAAAUCCGGUUAGGCUUUCUGGAGGUGGCGGGGAUCACAGUCUCCAAGUGCAGCCCGAAAUUCAGAGCGGGAGUGCUUCAGUUUCAGCUUCAGUUUCAGGCAGCCCACCCUGCCUAUACUCCCUACAGAUUUUAACACAUUUGUACUUGCAUAAAAACUGAACUUCGGUGCCAUCGCCUGCUGGGAUUUUCGCACAGGGAAGCUCGACUGAAAUCAGAGGGACUUUCUUGGAAGUAAAGCUUAGGUGUAGAGUGUCAAUCUACCUAAGAGCCUGAAGCCACACACCGAGGAAUAACCUCUGAAAUCUGAGGACCUUCCAAGUUACUUCAGAGAAAAGCCUGUGCGCACUAGCAACUUCCCAAAGGCCUGUGAAUGUGGUGUUGGUGUUGGUUUGCGACUCGUCGUGAGUGUGAUGGAGAGAGGCGCGGCCUCGCGUACGCAGGCGAAGGUGUUUCAUUAUCAGCCCUGGUUCCCGCCUCCGGCUUCCCGACAGGUCCCACCUGCUUCUGAACUCGCUUGCAUCGAGGCGUCACGGAUCUCUGGUCAUCUGAUGCCGGCCCAGAAGAAGGAGCGGGUCAUUGCGCUUGGGUGGGGUGAUGCGACGCCCAAAGGUUCUCUGUAGCUUGGGAGUGGGCUGAUGGGCGGAGAACACGUUCUGUCUUGGGCCACACGGACAACCGGGGAGGAAGGGAGGAGAGCGCCUUCACCGCCCUCCUCUAAUCAGUUCCGCCCAAAUGCCUCCAUUGCCGAUGGGAAGACCAUAAAACUGGAGCAAACCGCAAUCCACCGCAGUGAGAACCAGCAGUCGCGCAGAAUACUGUGAACAGGGCCUUUGCUGAUUUGGGCACGGAGAAAUCCUACCAGUAUGUCUGUCAAAUGGAAACAGUCCUCCCCUGGUUACCUCCUGCGCCGCCGCCGCCGCCUCCCCCACCCACCCCAGCUUCUGGAGAGCACGUCUACACUGCAAACCUCGGUCGGUUACUUGAACGGCCUGCGUGGCUGCCCUAAAACUACUUUUGCAAUUGUGGUUUUUGAAGGCACCUGGUCUCUCCCCCACCCCCCCAAGAAGCCCUCUCUAACCCACUUCCACAGAAGGGCGUUUCCAGGGUUCCUUGGAAGACCGGUGCAAAACCGUUUGUACUCUGGGCAUGUCAAAUAACCUCUUCUCCAUCUUUUACUCCAUUCUUCAAUUUGCUUCUGAAAUGCAUCACUUUCAUUUGAGGCAAAAGGCCUGUCAGGAAGGAGACAAGUCUCUGGCAAAAAGAAAAGAAAAGAAAGAAAGAAAGAAAAAAACCCAGGUGACUGUUCUAACGUUCUGUCUUCUCUACUUUAGCCAGCCUCAGAGGGGCACUUAGGCAGGGCCAGAUUAAGCUAGUGCGGGGCCUGUAACAUAUGUUAUAAAGGGGCCCUAAAUGUUUAAAAAAAAAAGCACAUAAAUAUUAAAACGUAAAUUAUUUACUUGCA